rnacentral:rRNA from 1 species
GUAGGGAAUCUUCGGCAAUGGGCGAAAGCCUGACCGAGCAACGCCGCGUGAGCGAUGAAGGCCUUCGGGUCGUAAAGCUCUGUUGUUAGAGAAGAACAAGUACGAGAGUAACUGCUCGUACCUUGACGGUACCUAACCAGAAAGCCACGGCUAACUACGUGCCAGCAGCCGCGGUAAUACGUAGGUGGCAAGCGUUAUCCGGAAUUAUUGGGCGUAAAGCGCGCGCAGGCGGUCUCUUAAGUCUGAUGUGAAAGCCCACGGCUCAACCGUGGAGGGUCAUUGGAAACUGGGAGACUUGAGUGCAGGAGAGAAAAGUGGAAUUCCACGUGUAGCGGUGAAAUGCGUAGAGAUGUGGAGGAACACCAGUGGCGAAGGCGGCUUUUUGGCCUGUAACUGACGCUGAGGCGCGAAAGCGUGGGGAGCAAACAGGAUUAGAAACCCCUGUAGUCC